rnacentral:lncRNA from 1 species
CGCAAGCGCUGCUUCAUUCCCGAGCGGGUGGGGGCCGGUCCUCUGCGCUGGCGACGGCCGCGGUAGAAGCUUGUGGCGCUCGAAAAGCAGCGUUUUCUGCUGGAACGUUCUCUGUCGGAGACGCUUCGAAGCACUUUUGUACAAGAAUUCCACAAUGUAAAUUAAGAUGGCUCCUGAGCGACCUUACGACUUGUGGCGUUAGGACGCUGAUUAUAGUGAUAUGUCGCCGCACACUUCCUGGAAAGCGAGAUGUGACGCUGGAUUGUGGUAGCAUCACGACAGGGCGCCGCCAGUGAGCAGUCGCUGAAGGCAGAGGCGGCAGAUUUGAAAAUGCUGUGGUAGAGGAGGACUGGUUGUUACCCAAUUGCUGGUUGUUGAAUCUUGACUUAGCCAGAUCUCUGGAGGGACCACAUCCUGCCAGAUCCUGAACCAGGCUGUCAGAGAAAACCACUUGAUUCUUUACACAUCCAACAAAGACCUUUUCCUUGAGCUGGGACUGAAAUUCAAGGCUGCUCCUUUAUGGUCUCCUAUCAUCAAAAGAUGCAGGGACAAAUGAAGAGACAGAUAGAAGCAUCUCAAGAACAGGAGGGGGCAUAGUGUUCUCUGGAGAGGAAGAGGAACAGAGCUGUUGACAGUGGCACUGUCUUUGGUCUCCUGUGGGAAUCGUUUGGAUGGUGUUCUAUUGUAGGUGACGGCCAGUUACUGGCCACUUCCUCAGCAGCUCUCUAGGGCAUUAGAGAAUGGAUGUUUCCUCGGGAAAUUGCUCCCAAUCUAUGCCAGGGGAGGAGGUUUACUCUCUCUGGCCUGUUUCAACCUUUCAACCACUUUGAGUCCUAUGUGCAUGUGUCAUUUCUUUCUAAGAUCCUGGGAGGUGUGCCCAUUGGCAAACCUUCCUUUUCCAUUGCAGGUGAUGGUUCCCAUCCAGAAAUAAAAAUUUAUGUUCACGCGAAAAAUUUUCACAGGCAGUUCCUAGCAGCUCUCUUUCUCGUAGUGAAACUCUGUGCCCCCCCCAAAAUGUC